rfam:Picea glauca, whole genome shotgun sequence.
AUUGGAAUGGCUCAAUUGGUCAGAGUGUGUGGUUGUUGACCACAAGGUCAGAGGUUCAAACCCUCCUUCUAGCU